AGUGGGUGAAAGCUCUUAACUUUCAGAUUAAGGAAUUAAACUUUUUGAAUAAUCAAAGGGAAUCUAUGCGCAGUUGUAGGAAGGGGGCGACGUGGGGGAAAAGUUAGUUUUACAAAGUGAAGCUAACUCAGUUUAAUAAAUAGUUUUAGAAGUUUUUAGUGGUUAACAAAAGACUGCAUCCCUCUGAUGCAAGAACUGCCCAUGUUUCAUCUUGUCCGAGGUUGACCAUCCGCCUGUGCUCUCAAUGUGACUCUUCUAGCCCCUCAGAGACCACACCAGCGAGCAACAUCGCCACCUGCUGGGAGUUAGAGAAAUUACAGAAUUGGAUUAUCUUUAUUCAAAUAUUCUUGGAUUUCAGGGUUUAAAGAUGGCUGGUUAUACCUUCGCUAGUCACUAUCUGUGAGCUGAUCAAAGCUGCAAGUGCCAGUUACUGAAAUGUUGGGCCUAUUAAUGUGUUGGAAGAAGAAGCAGGAGAGCCUAUGUGACUGAGCUAAAAAUUUAACCCGUCAUAAGAAAUGGAUGAGAGUUUGUUUAACAUUCUAUCUCCAAUAUUGAUAUAUGCCUGGGACCCAAGAAUGGCCAAAAGUUUCCAGAAGUAAUGCUGACUGCACUUUAGAAUUUAAAAGUACCACUGCAGAGGCCUAAUCUCAGAGCAGUUAAAUGAGAAUCUCUAGGAUGGAGCCCAGACAAUAACAUUCUUUAAAAGUUCCUCAGGUGAUGUGCAUCCAGGGCUGAGAACUAGUACUAGUAGGCAGACUGCAAUGGAAUAGGAGCAAACUUACAUUCUUAACUCAUUUUCACGACAUUCAUUUAUAACGGACAGAUUUGCAAACUGUACUUGCAUAAUUAAUGUCCCAAUUUAAAAUUCUGACCAAUAAUUAUAGUUUCUGAUGUAGCAGUUUACCAAAUAGUAUCUAGCAGGUUGUUUUUUUAAUUUAAAUUUUAUUUUAGAUUCGCGGGGGUGGGGGACACAUGCAUGUUUGUUAUAUGGGUAAAUUGUGCACUGGUGGGGAUCUGGGCUUCUAGUGUGCCCAUUAUCCAAAUAGUAAACAUUGUACCAAAUGGUCAACUUUUCGAUCUCACUCUCUCCCACUCACCACACUUUUGAUGUCCUCGGUGUCUACUACUUCCAUCUUUAUGUCCAUGUGUACCC
rnacentral:lncRNA from 1 species